CAGCCGCCACGGUAAUACGAAGGGUGCAAGCGUUAAUCGGAAUUACUGGGCGUAAAGCGUGCGUAGGCGGUUUGUUAAGUCUGUUGUGAAAUCCCCGGGCUCAACCUGGGAAUGGCAAUGGAUACUGGCAAGCUAGAGUGUGUCAGAGGAUGGUGGAAUUCCCGGUGUAGCGGUGAAAUGCGUAGAGAUCGGGAGGAACAUCAGUGGCGAAGGCGGCCAUCUGGGACAACACUGACGCUGAAGCUCGAAAGCGUGGGGAGCAAACAGGAUUAGAUACCCCCGUAGUCCCUGUCUCUUAUAC
rnacentral:rRNA from 1 species